rnacentral:rRNA from 1 species
GCAUAACGCGAAGAACCUUACCAGGUCUUGACAUCCCUCUGACCGAUCCUUAACCGGAUCUUCUCUUCGGAGCAGAGGUGACAGGUGGUGCAUGGUUGUCGUCAGCUCGUGUCGUGAGAUGUUGGGUUAAGUCCCGCAACGAGCGCAACCCUUAUCUUUAGUAGCCAGCAGUUCGGCUGGGCACUCUAGAGAGACUGCCAGGGGAUAACCUGGAGGAAGGUGGGGAUGACGUCAAAUCAUCAUGCCCCUUAUGAUCUGGGCUACACACGUGCUACAAUGGUGAUAACAAAGUGAAGCAGCCUCGUGAGAGUGAGCAAAUCACAAAAAGUCAUCUCAGUUCGGAUUGUAGUCUGCAACUCGACUACAUGAAACUGGAAUCGCUAGUAAUCGCGAAUCAGAAUGUCGCGGUGAAUACGUUCCCGGGUCUUGUACACACCGGAGUCGGUGGGGGAGGGUCGGAA